AGGCAUUGGCAUUGUGGAGAUGAACUAGGCAGGUACUCUCCCUCAAGUACUUCCCAGCCCAGAAGGGGACAGGACCACACCUGAGGACUAUCCUAAAGAUCUGAACAGUGGAGACAGAAUGAAGAGAGCUUGCUUGGACAGCUUUAUGUAGCAGAGCUGGUACAAGUGACUUAGGCCUUGAAGGGACUCCUGAGCAUCAUUCAAGGAAUUCUCUGGUCUCUAAACCCAAGUCUAAAGGCAGCUGAUUUAUCUGAUUUAUCCCUGGGAGCCACACCCAGCACAGGGCCAAGCACAAACACAACAUCACAUGAACGAGGACAGUGAGUCACUUGGGAUAUGGAGAGACGCAAGAGGAUCAGAAGUUUGAGGCCACCCUCAGGAACACAGCAAGUCUGAGGGCAGCCCGAGCCACACACGCUUCUUACCAAGAAAGGAUGAAGCCAAUGUUCCCACUCUAUCCUAAAAUAGGCUGCCAAGCACACCCAAGAAUGUGUCCUGUGACCCCACACUAGAAGACCUUGACACUCAGUAUGAUCGCAUCACGAAGCCUGAUCUAUACCCAAGGGUGGGAACCGCAUCACUGUGGUCUCUACCCAUCAUGGAGACCCUCUCACUCACUCACUCGCCCACUCACUCACAGUGUGACCUUGGGAAGCCACUGAACUGAUCUAGUCUCUCUCCCAUAAAAUGGACUAAUGGUUGCAUCUCCCCCGAGAGCUUGGCAGAAGGGUUAAAAUUAAUAUGUACUGAAUGCUAUUGAUUAUAUAAAGUUAUUAUAUG